UACGGAGGGUGCAAGCGUUAUCCGGAUUCACUGGGUUUAAAGGGUGCGUAGGCGGCUUUAUAAGUCAGUGGUGAAAGCUUCCCGCUCAACGGGAAAACUGCCAUUGAAACUGUAUAGCUUGAGUACGAUUGAUGUGGGCGGAAUACAUCAUGUAGCGGUGAAAUGCUUAGAUAUGAUGUAGAACACCGAUCGCGAAGGCAGCUCACAAAAUCGCAACUGACGCUGAGGCACGAAAGCGUGGGGAGCAAACAGG
rnacentral:rRNA from 1 species